GCUAGUGUAGCUUAAUGCAAAGCGUGGCACUGAAGAUGCUAACAUAAAACUUAAAACUUUUCACAAGCA
rnacentral:tRNA from 1 species